rnacentral:lncRNA from 1 species
AAGCCUUUUUGAAAUCGGACAACGUGGUUCGAUUCAGGAGAGGUGUAUCUAUAAAACGAUAUAAUUUGAAAUCUUUUUUUUUUUUUUUAUUAUUAAAUUUUGUUAUGCUAAUGGCGAUAUGAUUUUUCGCUGGAUGUCCGUCCCGUAUACGGGUUAAGAAAACAAAAUAAUCUCAAAUAUCGUUAUAUUAUCAAGUUGAUGGGACAGUCAUAUUGCCCAGCACCUACGUAAAGUUGAGUGACUCACUCAUUCAUGGCUUUGGAUCAAAAUAAAUAAGUACCAACAUUCGUUUUGAUAGUUUUUAAUAAAGAAAUGUUUUGGUUAUCCUGACCUGGACACCAUGUACAGUAUUAUAAUAGCCCAUUAUGGGCUAUUAGCAGGACAAUAUACCUUUACCAACACCUCUCUGUAUUUUGAUACUUUGUGCUUCAAAUCCUGUCGCUUAUAACGUCAAUAUGAUCUUUAAAUAAGACCUACACCACUUAACAAAUUACUCAACACUAGUGAGAUUCAUGUCACCUACGGUAGGCCUACAGUAUAUAAAAACAUAUGACGUGACUCAAAUUACAUAUAGAGGAUUUGAGGAUUCUAAAUGAUAUCCAAAAUCCACCUAAUGGGUCUCCCGGCAUGGGUAUUGCACCUGCAACUGUAAAAUGCAUUGCUACAGAUGCAGCUUCAAUACCUGUGCCAGCCGCCACCGGGAGAUCCACGGCUUUUGGUUUUAAUUUAGAAUCCUCCAAUCCUUUAUGUAAUUAUUGGCGGAGAGUCAUGUCAUAUUUUUCAAUAAAUAGCCAAGUACUGUAGCCUACUCCCGACUGUCACGUUGUACAGCGCCAUAUUUUCCAUUCCAUCCUAACAGAAAUCCAGUUCGUUUUUCUUGGAAUAGAAACACUGUAAUAUAAAGCAAAUGAAUUAUGUAAAAUUUCUUCAUCAGUCCCAUAUAUUAUGUUCAUACAAAAAAAAGGUUUUAAAUUCUCUAGUACAACCACUAUUGAAGGCUAUCAAAUGCUUCUCAAAGAUGCCCUCUGCUGGUCUAACUAGCAUUAAUGGUAGUUAAAUAACUUAAAUAACGUGCCAUAGAAGUCUGCGGCACCACGCAAGCUGUGCUGCAGUACGCUGCAACUUUUAAAGGUUCCUCCUUUAAAAGUUGUCAUACUGCGACAGACCCUGUGUGGCACGUAAUUUAAUUCUCAGCCAUUUCUUCUGUUAUUGUUACUUUGACCACCAGAGAGCAUCUAUGAGAAGCAUUUGGUAGUAUUCCGUAUUGGCAUCGGCAGAGAAUUUAAAACCUUUUUUGUAAUAACAUAGUUAUAUGGGAUUUUUUGACCCGCUUUUUUCUCCCCAAUUGAAUUUUUAGUUACUGUAUUGUCUCAUCUCUGCAACUCCUGUACAGACUCGGGAGAGACAAAGGUCAAGAGCGUCCUCCAAAACACAACCCAACCAAGCCACACUGCUCCUUGACAUUGCCCAUCCAAUCCAUAAGCACCAAUGUGUCAGAGGAAACACCUGGCAACCUGAUCAGCGUGCACUGCACCCAGCCCACCACAGGAGUCGCUGUACAUGCACAAUGAGACAAGGAUAUCCCUGCCAGCCAAACCCGGAUGAUGCUGGGCCAAUUGUGCACCGCACCAUGGGCCUCCCGGUCAGCUGCAACAGAGCCUGGACUCGAACCCAGAACCUCUGGUGGCACAGCUAGCACUGGGAUGCAGUGCCUUAGACCACUGCGCCACCCAGGAGGCUUAUAUGGGAUUGAUUUUAAGAAAUUUGGCUUCAUUUGAUAUUAUUUUGUUUCAAUUCAGAGAAAUUGUCAGUUUGUAAAUUCAGAACGUUUUGCUCUCGGAGCGCACUCUGGACGUUCGGGCCGAGGAGUAGGGUUGAUUUUGAGCGUUCUGGUCUUAGCUUGCAUGCUUUACUGCCGUUGUAACGUUGACUAGCUACUUCCAGACACAAAUGAGACCACUCUGACCAUUUUACUCACCCUAGCAGAGCUGGUAAGGCAGUUUUUGUGUUAACCAGAGCGUUGGUGACUGAAUGUGCUGCUGGAAACAAUUUAAUUAUGCUUUUUUUUCUGAUGUUUAUUGACACUGGCCAUAUUCAAUGGGUGUUGAGCGCUCGUAAAGUAAUUAUUCUGUGUUCUGGUACACUCAGAUGACAGUGAUCUGAAAUCCUUGUAGAUGGUAGGCUGGACACAUUACAUGUUUAACAACGUUCUUUUCUGAUAAAACUAGUUAAACAACAUUCUUAAGCUGUUUUUCAGCCUUGGGUGAAUUUUGACUUGUUCUAUUGUCCAGCCUAUAGAUAGCCAGAGCAAAUUUACAAAAGCACUCAAAUGUCCAUUGAGAAAGCACAACGACUAUACAAUUUAGCUAAGCUAAGAAUGACAAGAAUAAUAAAGUCAAUAAACAUUGUAUAGUUAGCCUAUAGUUGGUGUACUGGCAAGUUUGAUGUAUAACUACUAAUGUUAGGUAGCUAGCUAACAUAUCGGUACAUACUGCUGUAAUGAUGUGUCGGGUUCACCUUGGGGUCAUGAUAGGGGCUGUACCAAAUGUUUGAUGUAUUAUAAUAAUUGAUUAUGCUUAUGUUGUAUUAAUAGAAGGGGAGGGGUUCUAAGACCCCUCCCUCCUUACAUGUAUAGGGUCCUAGACUACAGAUUAACAAUAUAUAUUUUCAUUAAUGUUUAAGAUUUUUCUAGUCUCUGCCUCUUAUAAAGAAACGGUCUGAGAGAUGUGACUGUGAGACAGAACUCUGCAGGGGAGUGAAAGAGAUAAGAGACUAGUCAGACAUUCCACUAUAAAUCAACUUGGGAGUGGACAUUUACUGCUGAGCCUUUAGAUAACACUGAAACUCUUGUUUGUAUAGCUGUGUAUGCAUGGGCUUGGUCUCAUGAGUAGAAGGUAAUGACGUAGGCAGUGACAUCACUAAAGCUGGACUUCGGCCUUAAUAAAAUAACUUGGACGCUUUACUAUUUUGCAGAAUUUACUCGGAAACAUGCGUGCUAUGUUCCUGUUGUCAACUUCUGUCUGCAAUUGCAUUAAUAAAUGAAUGAUUGAUUUACUUAAAGAUAUUGUCUGAAUGCUAAUUUCACCAAUGAGCCACUGAUUGACAAGGAACGAACCGCAACAUAUGCUAUGUGGUUCGUAAGGACAGCAUAGUAAACAAAUUGUCAGCCAACAUAACGUGUAAGGUAAUUUAUUUGAAAAGUCAUUACUUUAUUACAUUGAGUAGCAAAUCUGGUCUGUGAUAGGAGUUUUUUUUCAUUCCUAGCUCGGCUAUUAGACUAUUCAACCUUUACUAAAGAAUAGUCUAUUGUUCAGCUAUAUGCCCUCCUCUUGCAACAAAUUGCUGUUCCCAUCUCAUUCCUUUCCCUCUUCCACAUGUCAUCAUUCUGCUCCUGAGUGGCUCUCUUGUGGGCUUGCUGGCAGGAUAUGGCAGCAUCUUCGGUUGUGCGUCAAGAAUUCUGCAUACAGUAGCACGUUUGUAUGAAGAAAGUCAAAGCGGACACAUACAAAGAUGGCAUCUUAGAGAGCGAGCUGACCGAAUGUAGAUAUUGCCAGAUAUUCACUGUCCGAGGAACAGGCUGUGGAAACUUUAUAUUGCUGGAAAAAGUGUCCAUAACCCGAGGUUAUAUCAGUUGUUUUGGUGAACCCUUCCCACAUCUGAACUGGCUGACACAGAGGGCACAGCAUGAUCAUAGGUACGUUUUGAUGUGAGAGGAAGCCAGUCCCGUCAUCGCCAUCUCACCUGCUCUUAAGAACCUUCGGGCCAACUGGGCGCACAAGGCUGGUUAGGAGACACCACAAUUGUGAUGAACUGAGAGAAUAUUAGGGUAGCACUGUAAUUCAUGAAUCAUAUGCUGUCUGCCGCUGUUCUUACCUCUUUCCCUUUCUGUCUUCUACACCUCUCUCCCCACCUCAUCUUUCUUCCUUGUUUUAUAAUGCACACCAUAUGUGCAUUGAAGUACAGAUUGAACUUGUAUUUAUAAUAUUAUAAUUAUAAUGCAUUUAUGUAUUUAUAACACCUGGAUAAUGAAC